CUAAGCGAUAGAGAUUAAUAUUGAAUAAAACCCCAAAUUGUCAGAAAUAAACCAAUCCUGUGUUUUUACUUGGUCGUCGAGGCAACAAUAUAAAUUCGUUGCAACCACCCAAUUUCCCGCUGAGUCAGCCCAGCACAGGUCACGAGACCCGGAAAAAGGGUUCGUUACAACUGGCGCCCAACGUGGGGCCUCACGACCAAAACAAGUAAAAAACGUAAGGAAAGGUGGUCUGAUAGAUCAAAGGGCACGAUGGGAAAAGGACAAUGGAUCCACAAUUUGAGGAAAGAGGAUCUGGUGCAAUGCGCUCAGGCGGUUGGCGUACGAUUAGAGGGGACGCUAGACGAGAUGAGGAAGGCGUUCAAAGAGUGGGUUAGAGAACACGGCGGAGAGCCAGAGUAUGCGGAUCUACUGGAGGUCUGGGAAUGUCGGGCGAGCAGAACGUCGCCGAUGCCUCGGGCUGACGACAAGCUGGCCACAUAUGAGCAACUCGCUCUACCUCAAGGGAAGGCGGCGGCGGCGCUAUGGACGUUCCCGGCUGAGUUUCAGCAGGAGCUCAUCGCGAGCCUGGCGGUGCCCGAGCGGUCGGUCACUCCGACACCCAGCCGGCAUCGACAGGCAAGCCGAGACAGAAGCCGAGACCCGGAAAGGGGGUUCCAUGAGCCACAAGGCCCCCGGCCGGCACCCCUGGACUACGCUAAGGUGGCCAAGCAGGUGAGAGAGUGGUCAUUUCGGUUCGACGGAACGACGAAGCCUCUCGAGUUCUUGGAGCAGGUCGAGUGGUCAGCCGAGACGUACGGGCUAGAUCCGGACCUGAUCCCAAGGGCGAUGCCGGAGCUCCUGAAGGGGCGGGCGCUGAUGUGGUUUGUGGCCAACAAUCGGCAAUGGAAGACGUGGAAAGACUUCUCCAGAAGCUUCCAAGCGUAUUUCUUGCCAAGAGGAUAUUUUGAGAAGCUGCUGCAGGAGGUGAGGAUGCGGAAACAGAGGUGGGGAGAGCCAUUCAAAGAUUACAUGGUGGAGAUGCAGACUCUCAUGAGGCCCCUGAAGUGUCCACAGGAAGAGCAAACGGAACUAAUAAGGGAGAAUAGCAUGCCGGAUCUGAGGGCGUACAUGCGACCGCAUAGAUGCCGCGAUUUGGAGUCGAUGAUGGUUUUGGCAGACGAAUUCGAGGCACUAGAGAGAGAUCGCGAGGAGUUCCAACGGGAGAAUCCGGUCAUAAGGGCGCGAGCCGCAAAUCCGUUCAGCAAGCCGGCGGGAGCAGAAGUGUGCCGUCGGUGCACAGAAGGGACGCGGGCAGCGUUGCCGGCUCAGACGACGGCUAUUGUGAACAUGUACGUUCAGAACCCGGAACAGGCAUGCAGAAGGUGUGGGAGCGGGGAGCAUUGGUCAAGAGAGUGCCAAGCUCGGCCCCUCACGUACUGCUGGAUGUGCGGGAAGGUGGGAAUGCCGACGCGGGAGUGCUGCCGGAAAGCGGGAAACGCCCCGCGACCCCAGCCGCGGAGGGCCGUGCCCGGGUCGCAAGAAACCGCCCCCACAACCUAGUCGGAGGACUGAGAAGGGAGGAGGCCCAGCUGUCAGCCGCCGUGGCCAUCGGAGGAACGGAGUGGCGGGCAACGCUGGACACGGGAGCCACCAGCAGCUUCAUCAGCUGGGAGUUGGCCGAAAAGGUGAAGGGGCGGGGGAGAGAGGUUGCGGUGAGGAAGCGAGUGCGGCUGGCAGAUGGCCACAGUCAGGAGGUGACUCGCCAACUCAAGGUAAAGGUGGCAUUCGGGAGCCGGGAGAUUGAGAUGGCGCUGCUGAUUCUGCCAGGAAUCAUUGACGAAUUGGUGUUGGGUUGGGAUUUCCUCCAAGCGGUCGGGGCAGAGAUGACCUGUGCGGGCCACAGGGUGGUGAUUCCUGCCCAAGAUCGAGUGCAAAAAGGCACGGAAGAAAGGCU
rnacentral:lncRNA from 1 species